UGGGGAAUCUUCGGCAAUGGACGAAAGUCUGACCGAGCAACGCCGCGUGAGUGAAGAAGGUUUUCGGAUCGUAAAACUCUGUUGUUAGAGAAGAACAAGGACGUUAGUAACUGAACGUCCCCUGACGGUAUCUAACCAGAAAGCCACGGCUAACUACGUGCCAGCAGCCGCGGUAAUACGUAGGUGGCAAGCGUUGUCCGGAUUUAUUGGGCGUAAAGCGAGCGCAGGCGGUUUCUUAAGUCUGAUGUGAAAGCCCCCGGCUCAACCGGGGAGGGUCAUUGGAAACUGGGAGACUUGAGUGCAGAAUAGGAGAGUGGAAUUCCAUGUGUAGCGGUGAAAGACGUAGAUAUAUGGAGGAAAACCAGUGGCGAAGGCGGCGCUCUAGUCUGUAACUGACGCUGAGGCUCGAAAGCGUGGGGAGCAAACAGG
rnacentral:rRNA from 1 species